AUUGAACGCUGGCGGCAGGCUUAACACAUGCAAGUCGAACGAGUGGCGGACGGGUGAGUAAUGCUUGGGAAUCUCGCUUAUGGAGGGGGAUAACUACGGGAAACUGUAGCUACUACCGCGUACCAUAGGAUGAGCCCAAGUGGGCUUAGGUAGUUGGGGAGGUAAAGGCUCACCACGCCGACGAUCUCUCGCUGGGCUGAGAGGAUGACCACCCCCCCUGGGACUGAGACACGGCCCAGACUCCACCUACAAUCAUCAUUAUAAAAUAUUCCGCAAUGCAGGCAACCUGACUGAGCCAUGCCGCGUGAAUGAAGAAUCCCUUCGGGUUUUAAUGUUCUUUCGGUAGCGAGGCGUUAACUACAGAAGAAACACCGGCUAACUCCGUGCCAGCAGCCGCGGUAAUUC
rnacentral:rRNA from 1 species